CGGGGGGAGCAAGCGUUGUUCGGAUUUACUGGGCGUAAAGGGCGCGUAGGCGGCCAGCGCAAGUCAGUUGUGAAAUCUCCGGGCUUAACUCGGAACGGUCAACUGAUACUGCGCGGCUAGAGUGCGGAAGGGGCAACUGGAAUUCUCGGUGUAGCGGUGAAAUGCGUAGAUAUCGAGAGGAACACCUGCGGCGAAGGCGGGUUGCUGGGCCGACACUGACGCUGAUGCGCGAAAGCCAGGGGAGCGAACGGGAUUAGAUACCCCGGUAGUCCUGGCCUUAAACGAUGGAUGCUUGGUGUCUGGAGUUUUAUAGUCUCCGGGUGCCGCAGCUAACGCGUUAAGCAUCCCGCCUGGGGAGUACGGUCGCAAGACUG
rnacentral:rRNA from 1 species